AGCGAACGCUGGCGGCAGGCCUAACACAUGCAAGUCGAACGAACCUUUCGGGGGUAGUGGCUGACGCGGGAGUAACACGUGGGAUCGUGCCUGUAGGUUCGGUAUAACUCAGGGAAACUUGUGCUAACACCGGAUGUGCCCCUCGAGGGCAAGAUUCAUCCCCUUUAGAGCGGCCCGCGUCCGUUUAGCUAGGUGGGUGAGGUAAUGGCUCACCAAAGGGACGAUCUGUACCGGGUCUGAGAGGAUGAUCAGCCACAUUGGUAGUGAGACACGGUCCAGACUCCUACGGGAGGCAGCAGUGGGGAAUCUUGCGCAAUGGGGGAAAGCCUGACGCAGCCAUGCUGCGUGAAUGAUGAAGGUGUUAGGGUUGUAAAACUCUCUAAUAGGGGACGAUAAUGACGGUACCCGAAGAAGAAGCCCCGGCUAACUUCGUG
rnacentral:rRNA from 1 species